UACAGAGGCCUCGAGCGUUAGGCGGAAUCACUGGGCUUAAAGCGUGUGUAGGCGGACGGCUAAGUACCCUGUGAAAUCCCACGGCUCAACCGUGGAACCGCUUGGUAUACUGGUUGUCUUGAGCCACUUAGGGGUUACCGGAACAAAUGGUGGAGCGGUGAAAUGCGUAGAUAUCAUUUGGAACGCCAAUGGUGAAAACAGGUAACUGGGAGUGUGCUGACGCUGAGACACGAAAGCUAGGGGAGCAAACGGG
rnacentral:misc_RNA from 1 species